UACGUAGGGGGCAAGCGUUGUCCGGAAUCAUUGGGCGUAAAGAGCGUGUAGGCGGCCCGAUAAGUCCGCUGUGAAAGUCCAGGGCUCAACCCUGGAAUGCCGGUGGAUACUGUCGGGCUCGAGUCCGGAAGAGGAGAGUGGAAUUCCUGGUGUAGCGGUGAAAUGCGCAGAUAUCAGGAAGAACACCCGUGGCGAAGGCGGCUCUCUGGGACCGUACUGACGCUGAGACGCGAAAGCGUGGGGAGCGAACAGG
rnacentral:rRNA from 1 species